CUCCGAGUGAUGUUUCUCUAGUGAAAAUUAUUUUAAGGCCUGUCCUGCAAACUUAACUCCCUGUGGAGAAUGAACAAAAAGAGCUGAAAACAGAAUUGCAGAAUGGUGUCUGUCCAUAACUCAUUGGGCCUCUGGCCUUUGGGCCUGUGGAUGGCAGAACAUUGUAGCCGAAGAAGCUGGCACAGGAAGCUGCUCAUCUCAUGGUAGCCGGGAAGCAGAAAGAGAGAAGAAAGGGCUGGAGCCCCCUCCACAUAAUGCAGCUUUCUCUUGAAUAAUGUCAAUA